rnacentral:rRNA from 1 species
CCUACGGGAGGCAGCAGUGAGGAAUAUUGGUCAAUGGGCGCGAGCCUGAACCAGCCAAGUCGCGUGAGGGAAGACGGUCCUAUGGAUUGUAAACCUCUUUUGUCGGGGAGCAAAAGACGCCACGCGUGGCGUUCAGAGAGUACCCGAAGAAAAAGCAUCGGCUAACUCCGUGCCAGCAGCCGCGGUAAUACGGAGGAUGCGAGCGUUAUCCGGAUUGAUUGGGUUGAAGGGGUGCACAGGCGGAAGAUCAAGUCAGCGGUAAAAUUGAGGGGCGCAACCUCUUCGAGCCGUUGAAACUGGUUUUCUUGAGUGAGUGAGAAGUAUGCGGAAUGCGUGGUGUAGCGGUGAAAUGCAUAGAUAUCACGCAGAACUCCGAUUGCGAAGGCAGCAUACCGGCGCUCAACUGACGCUCAUGCACGAAAGUGUGGGUAUCGAACAGGAUUAGAUACCCCUGUAGUC